AUGCAUCGCCAGAGAGAGCGGUCGGGUCGGGGAUCGUCUCUGCUGAUAAGAACAGAUAAACAAGUGCACCUGGAUCCAGCAGAGGUUGCAUCAUCUCUCCUGAUAAAAUGCAUCUGGGAUCUUAGAGUCAGCUUACGAGUCCGACUCGGAGGAAAAACAGGACGGCAGCGGAAACACCCAACGUCACUUCUAAUUAGCAGCUCUCAGGUCGACGUGUUUUUCUCUGGGAUUUUGUCGACCUGCAGAAAACAAAUCCGAUUUACAGACUCGGCUCUGAGCAGACUCAGCAGAUCCGUCUGGACUCGGAUCGGCAGGAUUCUCCUGCAGAUUCAAUGAGAUCAUCAGGAACGACCUGUCCAGCAUCUCCGUCCACAGCCAUGCGUAGCUCCGCCUCCACGCCAGCUCGACGGUAGCGGGAAUCCUGAAGGGAAAUCAUUUUGACACGAUGCUUCACGGCAGGAAGCAGCAAGAGGAAAUGUAAAUGUUGAUUCCAGAUGUUCAGGGUCCAACGCACACAUGCCUCCAGGUUUAUUAACCACGCCUUUUAUGUAAAAACAAUCCAGGGGAAGGAUGUGUUGCUCCGCCCUUCAGCGAGGGCUCCGCCCCUCGGCGAGGACCAGUGCCUGCCAGAUGUUUAUAUAAUAUUCAAUCAGCUGACUUUAGCUCCAGAUCCAGCUGUUUAUAGAGAAAAGUGCCUUUUUGACUGGAAAACUAAACGAGUUUCUUUGAGACUAACGGAGUUCUGAGUUUACACGUCGAGUUUCAGACAAUCGGUUUGGUUUUUAGUGAAAGUCAAACAACUUUUAGGUGUUUCACAACUCGGAUUCUGCUAUGAAAGUAAAGAAAACUGGAGCCAAACUCUAACAUGGAACUUUAAUCUGUAAUUUCUGGUUUUAGCCUCCAUUUCUAAUCUGUUAUUUAUUUGUUCUUAAUGGAUUCUGCAGCGCAGAACAACUUUCUGACCGUGUUUACAUUCAAAAGCCAAAGAAACAUCAGAGAAACGGCCAAUCAGGGCCGACCUGGAGCAAAACCAGAACCCGGUCUGAGGAUCUACGGGAACGUUUUCCCACUUCUGAAAGGAAAGGUUACAUUUAUUUAUUUACGAGAAGCAAAAGAUGAAACCAGAUUAAAGUAGCAACAACAACAAAAACAAUAACACCUGUUUAUGUUGAACUGAUUAUUAAAAUGUUGGUUUUUUAACGCAAGACCAGAAGCCUGUCAAUCACAGUGUAGCUCCGCCUCCAGGAUUUGUUCACAUUUGUUCUCAAAAAUGAUAAAAAACAAAUCAUGUGUCACAGAUGAACAGAGGCCGGGGCGCGCCCCCUGCUGGCUACUUGAUAGAAUGCAGGUUCGGUUUAUGACAUCAUUGCUAAUAAACACAAACUCUGAAUUAGAAGGAGCCUUGCAGACAGACCAAUCAGAUUAACUUUAACAGAAUCACUGAAGGUGAAAUACUUUAUUUUUUAUCAGUGACUAAACAAAGAACCGAUCUCUGGAGCUUUCAGAUGAUUUCAGUGUAAAUAUUUUGUUUAACGUUAAAAUUGUUUACAUUUGAUUACAUUUAUUUGAACAGAUCAGUCAACUCUGGGAGCGUUUAAUAAACAAGUAGGAUUUCACCUGCAAACAGCUGAUUCAGAACCUGAAAAACCACCUGCACCAAGUUUCAAAUGUGAAAGAGCUCAGAGUUAGCUUCUGCCAUCGAGAUCCUGCAGCAGGGUUGUAUGUCUGCUGCAGCAGCAGGGUUGUGUGUCUAAAGCAGCAGGGUUGUGUGUCUGCAGCAGCAGCAGCAGGGUUGUGUGUCUGCAGCAGCUGCAGGGGUGUGUGUCUG
ensembl:lncRNA